UACGGGGGGGGCAAGCGUUGUUCGGAAAUACUGGGCGUAAAGGGCGUGUAGGUGGCCAACUAAGUCCGACGUGAAAUCCCCAGGCUUAACCUGGGAACUGCGUCGGAUACUGGAUGGCUUGAAUUCGGGAGAGGGAUGCAGAAUUCCAGGUGUAGCGGUGAAAUGCGUAGAUAUCUGGAGGAACACCGGUGGCGAAGGCGACAUCCUGGACCGGUAUUGACGCUGAGGCGCGAAAGCCAGGGGAGCAAACGGG
rnacentral:rRNA from 1 species